GAGUUUGAUCCUGGCUCAGAACGAACGCUGGCGGCAGGCCUAACACAUGCAAGUCGAGCGAACCGCAAGGUUAGCGGCGGACGGGUUAGUAACGCGUGGGAACGUGCCCAAAGGUACGGAAUAGCCUCGGGAAACUGAGAGUAAUACCGUAUGUGCCCUCCUGUUGUAGUGACAGGGGGGGAAAGAUUUAUCGCCUUUGGAUCGGCCCGCGUUGGAUUAGGUAGUUGGUGGGGUAAUGGCCCACCAAGCCGACGAUCCAUAGCUGGUUUGAGAGGAUGAUCAGCAACACUGGGACUGAGACACGGCCCAGACUCCUACGGGAGGCAGCAGUGGGGAAUCUUGCGCAAUGGGCGAAAGCCUGACGCAGCCAUGCCGCGUGUAUGAUGAAGGUCUUAGGAUUGUAAAAUACUUUCACCGGGGAAGAUAAUGACGGUACCCGGAGAAGAAGCCCCGGCUAACUUCGUGCCAGCAGCCGCGGUA
rnacentral:rRNA from 1 species